rnacentral:RNase_P_RNA from 1 species
AGGGUAGGUCGGGCAACCGCGGGGAGUCAAAACUCCCUGAGGAAAGUCCGAGCUCCACAGAGCAGGGUGCUGGGUAACACCCAGUGGGGGUAACCCCAGGAAAGUGCCACAGAAAACAUACCGCCCCGGAAGGGGUAAGGGUGAAAAGGUGAGGUAAGAGCUCACCGGACGCCGGGUGACCGGCGUGCCUGGCAAACCCCACCCGGAGCAAGGCUAAAUAGGAAGGGAUGAGGUGGCUCGCUGACCUUCGGGUUAGCCGCUUGAGGAGUGGGGCAACCCACUCCCCAGAUAGAUGGUUGCCACUCUCUCUCAGGGAGAGUACAGAACUCGGCUUACAGACCUGCCCUCCUC